UACAGAGGAUGCAAGCGUUAUCCGGAAUGAUUGGGCGUAAAGCGUCUGUAGGUGGCUUUUUAAGUCCGCCGUCAAAUCCCAGGGCUCAACUCUGGACAGGCGGUGGAAACUACCAAGCUGGAGUACGGUAGGGGCAGAGGGAAUUUCCGGUGGAGCGGUGAAAUGCGUAGAUAUCAGGAGGAACACCGGUGGUGUAGACGGCUCUCUGGACCGUAACUGACGCUGAGGCACGAAAGCGUGGGUAGCAAACAGG
rnacentral:rRNA from 1 species